UUGGAGAUUUGGCUACAAAUGAAGGAUCAAUUCUUGAAGCAGAAAUCAAAUAUAAGCCUGUAAUAGCAUUAUCAGAUUUUAAAAUCUCUAUAUAUCAAGGAGAUACAAGCAUAUCGUCGCAAAUUAUUUCAACAUUAUGUAUCAACCCAAAAAUAGAACUAGCUAGCGAAUUAAGGGAAUGGUUUCAAUUGGAAGAAUCUGCAAAAGCAAAAGGAUCUCCAUCGACGCUUUUUAAAAAUGCCAAGGAAAUUCAUAUUAGUGAUAUUAUGCAUAA